ACACUACAGACACACUACGCUGCACAACACACACACACACGCUACACAACACAGACACACACUCUACAGACACACACACUUCCUACACAUAUACACCCACGCACACGCACUCACACAUGAGUGUCUCAGUCACCUCGAGGAGAGCUGUCUCAGUGGAGGGUGCAGUCGCUCAAAAUACAAAACAAUCAACUCAACACACCUACACAUGUACACAUACACAUACAUACACACCAUACAUUAACAAUACACAACAUGCAUAUACACAGUACAAUACGCAGCAUACAUUACCAAUCCACACCAUACACAAUACAAUACACAACAUACAUAUACACGAUAUGUUGUCAAUAUAAUAUAAUUACUUUGUGUACAUUUGGGCUACUGUCCGUACAGAGGUCUGUGUGUAAUGAGUGUGUGGUUCCAGCUGGUACAGAGGUCUGUGUGGUUCUGUGUGUAAUGAGUGUGUGGUUCCAUCUGGUACAGAGGUCUGUGUGUUUCUGUGUGUAAUGAGUGUGUGGUUCCAUCCAGUACAGAGGUCUGUGUGUUUCUGUGUGUAAUGAGUGUGUGGUUCCAUCCGGUACAGAGGUCUGUGUGUAAUGAGUGUGUGGUUCCAGCUGGUACAGAGGUCUGUGUGGUUCUGUGUGUAAUGAGUGUGUGGUUCCAGCUGGUACAGAGGUCUGUGUGUUUCUGUGUGUAAUGAGUGUGUGGUUCCAGCUGGUACAGAGGUCUGUGUUUCGGUGUGUAAUGAGUGUGUGGUUCCAGCUGGUACAGAGGUCUGUGUUUCGGUGUGUAAUGAGUGUGUGGUUCCAGCUGGUACAGAGGUCUGUGUGGUUCUGUGUGUAAUGAGUGUGUGGUUCCAGCUGGUACAGAGGUCUGUGUGGUUCUGUGUGUAAUGAGUGUGUGGUUCCAGCUGGUACAGAGGUCUGUGUGGUUCUGUGUGUAAUGAGUGUGUGGUUCCAUCCGGUACAGAGGUAUGUGUGGUUCUGUGUGUAAUGAGUGUGUG